UAAAAUUCCUGAACAAAAUAUUUUGUGAGCUUUUGCGGUUCUUUGCUGAUAGAGCAAUAGAGGUAACGUGAAAACAAGGUUAUAAGUUUUUUUUAUGGAUGGGUUGCUGACGUCAUCAAAACUCAAUUAACACUUUCUUUUCAUUUUUAAUCUGCAUAAGUGGGUUUUUCCACGGGCUUUAUCGACUAGUUAUUAUAUAGAAGAAGAAGUAUUAAAUAACAUUUUACCUUUAACUGUCGUCUUUCUCUGGUCAGUAGUUGGUCUAGUAACUGAAUUGCAAAAAUUAAUUGAAAAAGAGUUUUGUAAAAAGCUAUUUCAUGAUGUGUUACAUGUAAGAAUAAAUGCUGUUAGGACGUAAUAAUAGUAUUUGAAAAAAAGGGGACAAUACUGUUUAUAUUUUUAGGUCGGCAGUACGUUAGAGUUCAAGUAGAUGGAAGACUUUCCCUGAACAUAAACAGCUUGGAUUAUUAGUGAUCGCAAUUGUACCUUUAGUGGGUGCUGUAGUUGUUGUUGUUUUUGAAGUUGGUGUGGUGCCUGGUUGGUGAAAUCAUCAAGAAAAAUAGAAUAAUGCCUAAAAUUUCAUACACAGACUGUAUAAAGAUUGUGUGUUACAUCAAUUUAAUAGUGGAACGGAAGCUAACAUUAAGGAAGCAAUAGCUAAUUUGCUGAAGUCCUCGCCAGACCGAUGUGGAGGAGGUGGGCGAAAGAGCAGCACGUUAUAAAAGCCUCGAAGGAGAAAAUUUUUUAUAUUUUUUGCAGUUCUGUAUAUAUUUCUUUUCUGUUAUUGUUUUAAUACACGUUUUUUUGUAAGCAACCGAGUUGUUACGGUUUUUUUCCAGUAAAUAAUAAUAAAAGCGCAAUAUGGCAAGUGUAAGCUUAAAUAUGGUAAAUUUGAAUAUUACGCUUAGCAACUUCUUAGCAACUAAAUGAAAAAAUUAGUUCUUAUAAAAAAAACUGUAGUGUUCUUAGCAAUAGGCUCUGUGAAAAGUUCAUGGAGCGCUAUUUUGCAGUCCCUCUUGAGUUUUUAGUUGUAUAUUAUAUCCGAGAGGCUUUGCUUCUAAAGUUCACUUGAACAAAUAAACGCUUUAAGCAACACUCAAAUCUGUCAAAAAAAGAGCAAUUCUUGCACAACAUAAUACAGAAACACCGGGCCUCAACCAAAGUUUUGUGUUGUUUAUAAAAAAGCGUGUGGCGUCCUGGGCGCUUAUAAACAAAAACAACUAAAGUCGUCCUCUCUUUUGUGGAUACUUGUAAAUACUUUUAAAAGAAAGGCUUUUAUUAAUUACACUAUGAAUUUACUGUAGGCCUCAAACAACCAUUUUUCUAAUCAAAUAUUCCGAUGUGGAUAACAGCAUAUUUAAGAUUUUUUUAAAAUAUUUUAUUUAUCUAGAUUUGUAUUUUACAGAAUUUAUUUAUAACAACAUAACAUGUGUAUUCAAGGUAACUACUUUGUUAGAUGUUCUUACAUAUUUU